GGACUUCUGUUUCCACCAAUGCGGGAGGUUCUUGUUCUGCAGGUCUCGCGUCUGCCAGGAGCUACGGCCGGAAGAUGGCGGCGGCCGCAGAGUUGUCGCUACUGGAGAAGUCCCUGGGACUGAGUAAGGGGAAUAAAUACAGUGCUCAGGGCGAGCGACAGAUUCCAGUUCUUCAGACAAACAAUGGUCCAAGUCUAACAGGAUUGACUACUAUAGCAGCUCAUCUAGUCAAGCAAGCCAACAAAGAAUAUUUGCUGGGGAGUACUGCAGAAGAAAAAGCAAUCGUUCAGCAGUGGUUAGAAUACAGGGUCACUCAAGUAGAUGGGCACUCCAGUAAAAAUGACAUCCACACACUGUUGAAGGAUCUUAAUUCAUAUCUUGAAGAUAAAGUCUACCUUACAGGGUAUAACUUUACAUUAGCAGAUAUACUAUUGUACUAUGGACUUCAUCGCUUUAUAAUCUUGGAGAAAUUCAUUCAAGGCUUUUGGAUCACAGACCAGUUAUUCAAGGUGAAACUCGUUAUUUUGUAAAAGAAUUUGAAGAAAAACGUGGUCUUCGAGAAAUGCGAGUUCUUGAAAAUUUGAAGAACAUGAUCCAUGAAACAAAUGAACAUACUCUUCCCAAAUGUAGAGACACAAUGCGGGACAGCCUCAGCCAGGUUCUCCAGAGAUUGCAAGCAGCUAAUGACUCAGUCUGUAGACUCCAACAGAGGGAACAGGAACGAAAAAAGAUUCAUAGUGACCACUUAGUAGCUAGUGAGAAACAGCAUAUGCUCCAGUGGGACAACUUCAUGAAGGAGCAACCCAACAAAAGGGCUGAAGUGGAUGAAGAGCACAGAAAAGCCAUGGAAAGGCUUAAAGAACAAUAUGCUGAGAUGGAGAAGGACCUAGCGAAAUUUUCAACCUUUUAAGAACUUGAACCACAACAAUCACAAACUAAUGAGAAGAUGUUCACCUCUCUCCUGAAAACUAUUCCCACCAGACCGUUUAGCCUCUGCUUCAAGCUUAGCAAUAUAUUCAGUGGCACUCUUAUAUCAGAAGAAAGAAGUUUCUACUGGCAUUCUGAUUGGAUAUUUAAAGAAGGGUGCCACAUUUUUCCAGCUUUAAGUGCCUAUAUAUGAUUAUUUGAAUGAAGAGGAGUAGGAAGGAAAAUGGAAUCAAUAUACUCUUUGUUAGUCAGAAUUGAUCAUCUUUUCCAUUGAUUAGCUCAGAGAACUGUAGGUAUAGACUUCUUAGAAAGAUAAUUUCAUUCAUUUCUAUACAGGGUUAACAAUAGUUUAUUAUUGUGGCUUAAUGGGAAGGUAUAGAAGCUACCUGUCAUAGCCUCCUUGGCUGUUGGAAGGAUGUAUAAAGUGUUACUGCAUGAGUAAUGUAGACAAAAAAAAAAGCCAGCUGUCCUUGGAGCAGAGAUCACAUUUCAGAGAGGUGAGAGUGAACACAUUGUCUCUGCUGUGGCAAAGAUGGCCACGCUGGUGUUUGAGCUGCCUCUUGGGAAGCGUUGCAUAUUUUACAGUGCAGCAUAAUGCCAUGGGCUUCCGUGGAUGGGAAGACACAUGUUAAGUUUUGUGGCCUUCCAGCACUUACUAUUUUCAGCUUUUUAAAGCAUGCUUAGAAGGAAAAGCUUACCAAAAAUAUAUUUUGACAUUUAGUUUUUCCAAGAGCUAUAAUCUUGCCCAUAGUAUUUACCUCAUUUUUGUGUCUGUUUUGCUGUGGGUAAGCUUUAUAAGAUAAAUAAUGUCUAUACAUGUUUCGACUGUUUAAUGAGUAAUCAACAAAAUCUGCCAGAGAGUCCCUCUGGAACCAUAUAAAGUUCCUGGCUUUGAAUGAACCAGAAGUGUUUGCCCACACAGCAAAUGGUCCAUGUUAAAUGUAAAUCCUUUUUAGUGUUAAUGUCUGUUCUCAUAAGCAGGUAUAUUAUGAUGAAACAUGUACCAGUUCUGUCAUCACUGUGAUCUUUAAAAACCUGCAUUUAACAGUCUAAUUUGAGGCUGGGUGCAGUGGCUCACACCUGUAAUCUCAACACUUUGGGAGGCCGAGGCAGGCGGAUCAUUUGAAGUCAGGAGUUCAAGCCUAGCCUGGCCAACAUGGUGAAACCCCGUCUCUACUAAAAAUACAAAAAUUAGCCCGGCAUGUUGGUGCACGCUUGUAAUCCCAGCUACUCAGGAGUCUGAGGCACGAGAAUCACCUGAACUCAGGAGGCGGAGGUUGCGGUGAGCUGAGAUGGCACCACUGCACUCCAGCUUGGGUGACAGAGUGAGACUCCAUCUCAACAAAAAAAAAAUCUAACUGAAGAACUAAGUUGAUUUUUUAUUUGCCAUAAACCAAGCAAAAGUAAAUGCAAUAAUUUCGAGAUUUAUGGUAAACAAAUUUGAGGUAUGGAUAAAUCUUUCACAUAUUUUUUAUUGCUCUUUAGUAAAGAAAGGCACAAGAAAGAAAAUAUCCAGCUCUCUUGUGUUAUCUCAGUGUGGCGACUGCAGAAAAUUGACAAUGCCUGCCUGUGUAAAUGUAUGGCUUACUGUCAAAGCUUCAUUCUUGGCUGCAUGUUGAAAAUGUGAUUAAAGUUAAUAGAGGAGAUGAAAUAAGUAUUUGAGAUUUUUUUCAAUAACACUGAACUUCUGCCAACUUUCUCUAUCCGCUACUGUAGGCUUGACAGGCUCAUCAAUCAUUUGCUGGUACCUGGACUAAAAAGCGCACUUGCUGACACCAAGGCAUGUUGGAAUUUUCUUAAUUCAGUGGAUGGAAAAAGAAAUACUUCCAAAAAUAUCCCACACAUGAAAAGGGAGGGGAGCCUUAAAUGAAAAUUCCCUUUGUACCGUAGACACUUUUUGGAAUGCGAUUAAUUGCCAACACAUCAUUGAACGAAUGCUGUAACCAAGAAAUUAAGAUUGUGUGUGUGAAGGGAAUAUAUUCUUAACUGUGGCUACCCAACUUGUAUAGCAAAGAUUUCUGAUAGUUUGUGUUCAUCUCAUGUGAAUAAUAAAUACUUUACCCUA
rnacentral:lncRNA from 1 species